AGGAGAUCGGUGCUGUGGUCAGAUCCCGCACCAGGGCACACCUCCCUCCCAGCCCCUGGGGGCUUGCCUCUCCAAUGAGCAAAUACAGAUGCUUAUGUCUUGGGGUUUUAGAUCAAAAUAAUCUCUGGAUUGUUAUGACCCCUUGGAGAUGAUAAGCGCCAAACUGCCAUGGCUCCUGCCUCCGAGGGCUCUGGUCACCUGUCCUGCAUUUGCUCCCCUAGACAGCUAUGCUGGGGUCACGACAGGGGGCCCGAGCCCCUCUGAGCCCUCAGAUACAGAUGACGAGCACCUUGUCCAAGGUCAGUGGAAGGACUGGGACAACAGCCCCGCUCUCUGCCUGCCCAGCCCGGGCUCGCCACCCAACUGCCCCAAUGGGAGACGAGAGCGAGUGAUGGGUGCAUGAAGCUUCAGGGCUCGAGGCCCUGCUGUGCGAGCACUGCCCAGCUUCCUUCUGAGGGGACUGGAGAUGUGACACGUGUUCUGUUCAACGUCCAUAGACUUCACUCGGCCGGCUCGGGUCUCCUUUGCCAAGUUUGCUAAGGGCAGGUCGGUUCUUCCUUCUAGGUUUUCCCUCAUCAGCCCUCUGCUAGCCUCCACCGCUGCCAUGUGAGAGGCAUUUAGGUGGCCCUGGGAACUGCCUUUCACGUUAACAGAUCUGUGUUUAUUCUAUUGUAUAGCCAGAAAUAUUGACAAGCACAGCGAACGUGUGACCUCACGGAUGCGGCUGCUCGGGCGAGGCUGAAGGAGGCUGUGCAGAGGACUGAAAGCAUCUGAAGGGACGUGGAGAGGGAAGCGUGAUGGAAUGGCUGACACGUCUUCGGUGGGUCUGGAAUGAACGAAGCUAACACCUGUUCUGAAGCUUGGUUUAUGGCUCCUGUCGCUUUACCAUCAUUGAUACCGAUUUCUCAUUGAUAGCAGCGAUAUACAUUUCUUUCUUGAAAUAGACUGAUUUGAAAUUUAAAAAUGAUUCAGCCUAAAGAAUAAUCUUAAAAUCAUU